rnacentral:rRNA from 1 species
GAGUUUGAUCGUGGCUCAGAUUGAACGCUGGCGGCAGGCUUAACACAUGCAAGUCGAGCGGGGGAGGUUGCUUCGGUAACUGACCUAGCGGCGGACGGGUGAGUAAUACUUAGGAAUCUGCCUAUUAAUGGGGACAACAUCUCGAAAGGGAUGCUAAUACCGCAUACGCCCUACGGGGGAAAGCAGGGGAUCACUUGUGACCUUGCGUUAAUAGAUGAGCCUAAGUCGGAUUAGCUAGUUGGUGGGUAAAGGCCUACCAAGGCGACGAUCUGUAGCGGGUCUGAGAGGAUGAUCCGCCACACUGGGACUGAGACACGGCCCAGACUCCUACGGGAGGCAGCAGUGGGGAAUAUUGGACAAGUGGGGGGAACCCUGAUCCAGCCAUGCCGCGUGUGUGAAGAAGGCUUUAUGGUUGUAAAGCACUUUAAGCGAGGAGGAGGCUCUUCUAGUUAAUACCUAGGAUGAGUGGACGUUACUCGCAGAAUAAGCACCGGCUAACUCUGUGCCAGCAGCCG